AAGAUCCUCGCCGUCCAGUUUUUUUUUCUCUCCCAUGCAGGAACGCUAUCCUCUCCGCCGCCUCGAUGCUGUUCUUCUGCGGCGGAGCGCCUCACGCGGCUGCGUCCGCCGCUGCCACCACCACUCACCGCCCAUGUCUACGCCGUCUCGCCGCCCCUCACCGUCCAUGGCAGCCCCUGGCGCGCAGCAACGGCGGUGGCGGCCCCUCCUCAACUUAACACCGGCGUGCCCGUCUGCUCCUUCACCAAGGUUCCCGGACCUGCCGUCUACUCCUUCACCAAGGUUCCCGGACCUGGCAUGCGGUGCUGCUGCCGGCAAGCACCUCCCUUUGGAAUUGAAAACGGAUGCAUCGAUCUACUGCGUGUCGGGAUCGAGGUGCACAUUGACUCGGAAAUCGGAAUAGAGUAGGACCAUCUCCGACGUGUUUCCGCAGUGAAGCUCCUCGCCGUUCAGGAAAAUCCUCGUCAUCCACGAACUGCUGCUGGAGCUUUGCAACCCUUGUUGGCACAGGUGCCAUCACGAGCAUCUCGGAGAUCUCCAUCGUGCCCUGCAACCAGCACACAAGGUUAGUAGAUUCGUUUUGCCGUGCAACACAAGUUCAUAUAUUUGUAGUUUUCCUUUUGAAACUCAUCAGUUGUGAUUAUUAUGAUUUGACACAAUUUAGAUUGCUAUAUUUUUGUAGAAAAAAAUGAAUUCUUCUAACAUUGAAUCAGACAAUGUCGACGAUUCAAAUGUUUAGUCCGUCUAGUGUCAUUGACAGGUGAAUCUUAGUCCAUCUCGUAUGCGAGUCGGACCAGCCCUACGUCCACAACUCGAUCACAUAGACCCCUAUAAAUUAACACAUAUGCAACUAUACGUAUCUGAUACUUAAAACUUUGUUCAUGGCAACAUAUUGGUAUAUUUAUCUAUCUCUAUCUCUUCUCUACUGCUACGCACUAAAGCUAGCAAUGCUUUCUUGGUCUGUCAAUCAGAAUUCUAAUCAUAACCUGGACAAAUCAAUCGAAAUCCGAAAAAUCAAUUAGAAUUCCAUUCGGAACCUGAAUAAUCAGUGCCUCACGCGGUCACUGCACGGCUUGUAUAUGGAAUGAGAUAGCACAAAGUUAGUAGUCUCAUGUAGAUCCAGUAAAGUUUAUAUUACCCGUAGCAACGCACGGGUACUGUGCUAGUUAUGUGUAAAAGUUAUAAGUAUCGUAAAAAGAUGUGUUGAAAAAUUAUUAUAUAAUAGUUAUGUUAAAAAAUAUUAUCUGAUAGUUGUCGGAAAGAAGUUAUACAUACAUACGUUUAAGUAACUUUCUAAAUGUAGAAAAUCGUGGAGAAAGAAACUUUCCUGAAAAGAUAAAUCACAUGCUGUCCGAUCGAGGGCCGGUAACCCUCCUGGCGUGCGCUCUUGGAUUGCAGAGCCCGGCAAUUAUUAUUAGGACACAAGUCAUUACCUAUUAUUAUAGUGUUGAUUACUCAAGGCAAUGAAGAUGAUGAGAACAUGGAUAAUUCUGUGCAAAUGCGAGGUCAUUGGAGAGCCCGGUGGUGGAGCUGGAAGAACAAGCAAAACAACCUACGAGGAUUGCCUAGGACGGGCUUCAGUGGCUGUUGAUGAUGCAAGACUGCCUGACUCAGUAGUGUCGGGAGCAGGACAUUUAUCAGUUUCUAGCGUGGGAAGGGGAUCUGAUUCCUCAUACAUUUCGUCUAGUAUCUGUUUAGUUAACUUAGAACCUUUUGCUUCAAGUUUCAAAAAAAAAAGAACAUUUUGCUUCAAGCAAACGCGAUUCAAAUACUCCCCUCAAUUUAUUUUAUCAUAUUAAUUUUAUUUGACUGAUGUUCCAUAGCAAUAUUUUAUGUUUGUUUGUAAAGGGAAAAUUUGCACCAAA